rnacentral:misc_RNA from 1 species
CUGAAUUCUGGCAGUGAACGGCAAUCAUUUGCAUUGGAGCUUGGCCCACGAUCCAUCCCCCGUUAUGGACAAAUAUAUAAAUCAAUUACUCAGUUUUAGGAGAUUAACAUGGUCAGUCCAAGAAUGUGGUCAGCAUUGCACACCUUAUUAUGACUGUUUAAAAUUAGAAAAGAUCUUGAAUUGAUUGACAGGGUCAACAGUAGUUGCACGCCUCUAGCUUAUGUCUGAAUCCCAUAAACUCCUUCACCUUCUCUUAUUGUUUAUCUUCCAAUUCUAUUCUUAGAAUCUCAGAUAAACUUGCCAGCUCCAUCACCAAUUCUGCCUCUCAAAGAGACGCGCACGCCAACAUGAAACGCCCCCUUAACCUAAAAUUAAACAAAAGGAAACAAAUCUUUUCCACAAAGAAAAAGACUUGGGGAACAACAAAAUCUCUCCAACAGCGGCUCGUUUCUACCCGGAGCUACACCCCAUUUCCGGCUUGGAGAUGACCGUUGUUCGCUUUCUUGUUCUCCUCUUCCUCGUCGCACUUUCGCUCUGCAGCCUCUCAUUUUCCUUAUCAGAAGAUGAGGCUCUUCUCAAAUUUAAG